rnacentral:lncRNA from 1 species
AAUACUUUUAACAGUUCUCUUAUAUGUAUGGGUGGGCUCACAAUUAUUUUAACCGCGAGCCCCCACGUUUUGUGUGAGGAGUGUGGAUACAGUAAAUGCUGUGCACUUAGCAUUUCCAAGGCCAACGGGUCUAAUUUCCCCUCCAAUUAAAAACAUCCGUGCCAAACCCACCGAUUAGAGCCCAAAACACGGUCGUCCUUCUGCUUCCUGAAGAGUUUCAAUCCUACUUCCCCGAGCAAAUGAAUUUUUUUCUCCGAUAUAAUUCAUCGACUUGCAUUUGUUUUCUUCUUCAAUCACCAUUCUCGACUAAACUAUAAUUUUAUAGUGAUCAAAUUAGUUCUUUCAGUUUUUCACUGUUCGUACAAUGGUAUAAAAGAAAAAUUGAAGUGGAUACAAAAUGAUGUCCCCAAAUCAAUUUCCCGAAAGUCGGGGGAGUUCUCAUUCCGCCACUAUCAGGUGAUUCCAGUUCCAUUCGUGUAUUUGUAUAUAGAUAAUAAUUUUUUCAUCAUAUCAUUUAUGACUGUGCACCAUUGUGUUUUUU